CCAUUGACCCUUCCAAGAGCCCUAUCCUUCCCAACUCUCCAUCCUUCUCCUUCUCACCUCUCCCAACCCUUCCUCAUCACCCUCCUGUCCUCUUCCAGCCCCCCAUACGCCACUUGGACCAGGGCCUGCGGUGGCAGCUGGCAAGAGCGCCGUCCCUGGGGACAAUGUAGAGCCAGGAGCUGAGCCCCGAGAGGAAGAGGAGCGUGGGGACUUUGCCGAUGCUGAUGACUUGGCCUACACUGAUGACCUGCAUGAUGAGAACUACCACCCAUCCCUGGACAGUGACUCAGAGCCACAGCGACACCAGGGCCAACCCAAGGCCCACAAGAAACCAAUCAAGGAGGAGCCGCCCCUGCUCAAGCCGCCCCUGCCCAGCUCUGGCCCCUUGGAGGAGAAGAGCGGACGGGUCAGCUCCAGAACCACCCUGGAUAUGGCUGGAAGAGGGAUCACCCUUCCGGGAGACCCAAUCUCAGCGAAGCAAAUCGAAAACAGGAGAUAAAUCCUGGCUCAAGAGAAAAGCAGGAUCUUCCAGAUGUCAAAGGGUUCCUCCUCUUCUCCCUUCCCCAGGUAAAGCUACCCUGAGCUGUUUUCAAGGGGUUUGGGACAAGCCCCAGGCUGAAUCCAUGCUUGAGCAUUGGCAUCUCUUACCAUCCCAUUAUUUCUCCUCCCCAAACCCCACUUUAACCCACUUUUAAUGGCUCUUUCCUUAAUUCCAGGGUGACAGCUAAGAAUAGCUGCUGUUUCCGGGGAGCUAUGGAUGAAUUAUAGAUCAAACCUGGCUGGGAGCCAAUUUCAGUGUCCUGAGACGCAUCCAAACCAUGUGAAAAGGGUUUUGUAACAAGCAAUAAAGAAUUUAUUCUUACUUUAACGCCUGAACGA
rnacentral:lncRNA from 1 species